rnacentral:misc_RNA from 1 species
AAAAUUUAAAUCCUCCUGCCUACUUCCUAUUUAUCGUCACUAGAGAUAGUGUAAAGUACAGAAUGAGCGCUUAAAAAUGUUCUUUAAUCUUGAUUAUCAUUUUUUUUUCACGAUAGGAGCUGAUUAGCGAUAUGUUAGUGGUGGAUCCCGCGGAUAGACUGUCGGCGGUGGACAUACUGGGGCACCCCUGGGUAACCGUGAGUAUACGUCACAAUACGUCAGUGUGUAGUGAUGAAGGGACCCUUAAAGACCUGUGAAAGUCCAUACACUUGAUUCUUUGUAUAAGAUCAUGUUUUGUUUUUUCUGUUAAGGCGGAGACGGUGAAAGACGAAGAACUGUCUGUCGGGGAAAAUAUCCGACACUUUUCCCGGCGGGAUAAGCCGUCACGGAGCCGUGCCGGUAUCCGGUUGGUGGCGGUAAGAACUUUAAUAACGUGACGUGUGUCCAACAUCUGGCAAUUCUGAAUUGUACACAGCUAGUUGUUGUAACACCUUUGCUAUAUCAUUUACAGAGCACGCCGUUGGACCACCCCUCACGUUAUUUCCAGGGACGGAGGGCGGGGCUUACUGUCCCCAGCAAACAACAAACGAGUACUGAGGGAGAGGAUGAAGACGAGAUCUUCUAGGGUCAUCCAUUACAAUAUAUAAAUAGACAGGAGACCAUUUAAUGCUUUUUCAUUAUUUGCCUUUGAAAUCCAUGGAGUCAGCCCAAAAAAUAAUCCCAGGAAUAUUACGUUUGCCUCGCUUUCGAUGGGUCGAUUAUCACGUGACUUAUUUAUUGAUGGUGCUUUCGUAGUGGUUUUACUACACAGCUUUAAGUGAGCAGUAUUCAGUAUUGAUGUAUUAUUGAAAUGUUGAUGUAAAUAAAUAAAAA